UACAGAGGGGGCAAGCGUUAAUCGGAAUUACUGGGCGUAAAGCGUGCGCAGGCGGUUUUGUAAGCCAGAUGUGAAAGCCCCGGGCUCAACCUGGGAAUGGCCGUGGAAACUGGCGAGCUGGAGUGUGGCAGAGGGGGGUGGAAUUCCGACGUGUAGCAGUGGAAAUGCGUAGAGAUGUGGAGGAACACCGAUGCGAAGGCAGCCCCUGGGCUGACACUGACGCUCAGGCACGAAAGCGUGGGGAGCAAACAGG
rnacentral:rRNA from 1 species